rnacentral:rRNA from 1 species
UUAAGAUACUAAGAGCAUACGGUGGAUGCCUUGGCGAUAUCUGCCGACGAAGGACGUGACAAGCUGCGAAAAGCUGCGGAGAGAUGCAAAUAAUCGGCGACCCGCAGACAUCCGAAUGGAGAAAUCCGGCUGUGAUGAUGCACAGCCAUCCAUGCCCAAGAGCAUGAGAAGGGAACCGGGCGAACUGAAACAUCUAAGUAACCCGAGGAAAAGAAAUCAAACGAGAUACCCCAAGUAGCGGCGAGCGAACAGGGAAGAAGCCCAAACCGGUGAAGGAAACUUUACCGGGGUUGAGGACCAUCAGAACCGCGAAGAACCUUAGCCGAAACUGUUGGGAAACAGUGCCGAAGACAGUGAAAGCCUGGUAGGCGAAAAAGAGAAACGCGGAGAUGGCACCAGAGUACCGCGGGACACGAGAAAUCCCGUGGGAAGCAGGGGGGACCACCCUCCAAGGCAAAACACAGAUAUCGACCGAUAGCGCAUAGUACCAUGAGGGAAAGGUGAAAAGCACCCCGGGAGGGGAAUGAAAGAGAACCUGAAACCGUAUGUUUACAAGCAGUCGGAGACCGCUUAAUAAUAAGGUCGACGGCGUGCCUAUUGAAGAAUGAACCGGCGAGUUACGAAGCCUGGCAAGGUUAAGCAGGAAAUGCGGAGCCGAAGCGAAAGCGAGUCUUAAGAGGGCGCAAGUCAGGAAGCGUAGACCCGAAACCACAGUGAUCUACCCAUGUCCAGGUUGAAACACAGGUAAAAAUGUGUGGAGGACCGAACCUAUAUCCGUUGAAAAGGGUUAGGAUGAGGUGUGGGUAGGGGUGAAAUUCCAAUCGAACGUGGAGAUAGCUGGUUCUCCCCGAAAUAGCUUUAGGGCUAGCCUCAGGGAAAAGAUUGCAGGCGGUAGAGCACUGAUCAGGAGAGGGACCUACCCGGUUACCAAACCCAGUCAAACUCCGAAUGGCUGCAAUCAUACCUGGGAGUCAGACUGCGACUAAUAAGGGCCGUAGUCAAAAGGGAAACAGCCCAGACCAUCAGCUAAGGUCCCCAAUGCCGUGCUAAGUGGCGAAGGAUGUGGCAUUUCAUAAACAACCAGGAUGUUGGCUCAGAAGCAGCCACCAUUUAAAGAGUGCGUAAUAGCUCACUGGUCGAGAGACGCUGCGCCGAAAAUGUCCGGGGCUCAAGCACGGAACCGAAGCUAUGGCAUGAUAGCAAUAUCAUGGGUAGGGGAGCGUUCUUAUAAGGAAGAAGCAUGACCGGAAGGACAUGUGGACGAAUAAGAAGUGAGAAUGCCGGUAUGAGUAUCGAAAAGAAAGGUGAGAAUCCUUUCCACCGAAAGCCCGAGGGUUCCUGAGCAACGAUCGUCGACUCAGGGUAAGUCGGGACCUAAGCCGAGGCGAGAAGCGUAGGCGAUGGACAACAGGUUGAAAUUCCUGUACCGGAUCAAGUCGAUCGAGCGAAGGAGCGACGCAGGAGGGCACAUGAUCGCGCGGCUGGAAGAGCGCGUCCAAGUGCGUAUGUUGCUGCAGAGGAAAACCCCUGCAGCUAAAAGCAGAGACAUGAUGGGGAGUUAAAGGAAACUUUGACGAACUCAUGGAUCCCACACUGCCAAGAAAAACUUCUAGCGAGACAAGAUCCGCCCGUACCGUAAACCGACACAGGUAGGCGGGGAGAGAAUCCUAAGGUGCGCGGGAAAACCCUCGUUAAGGAACUCGGCAAAUUGCAUCCGUAACCUAGGGAGAAGGAUGGCCCCCGGUCAGUGAAGAGCAGAAACGCUCAGAGCUAAAAGGGGCGGCAGAAAAGAGGCCCAAGCAACUGUUUACCAAAAACACAGGUGCCUGCGAAAGCGAAAGCUGAAGUAUAGGUGCUGACGCCUGCCCGGUGCCGGAAGGUUAAGGAGAGAAGUUAGCGAAAGCGAAGCAUCGAACUGAAGCCCCGGUGAACGGCGGCCGUAACUAUAACGGUCCUAAGGUAGCGAAAUUCCUUGUCGGGUAAGUUCCG